rnacentral:tRNA from 1 species
GCCCAGGUGGCGGAAUUGGUAUACGCGCACGCUUGAGGGGCGUGUGGCUUUUAGCCUUGCGGGUUCAAAUCCCGCCUUGGGCA